rnacentral:lncRNA from 1 species
UUUAGACAAGCACCCUGCGAAUAGAUUCAGUUUUGACAAGGUAAGAAUCAACUAAUCUGUAUUAGUUUCGGCUUUGUUUCUUGUUCAUUUUUCUCCACAAUUUUUUAAAUGUGUUUUUGCUUCUCUAAACUUGCUUUGGUGUACUCGGAUGUGCUUAGAUAAGAUUUUUCAUCAAAUUUGAAGGAAAGACUCAAAUUUUUUGGGCGAUCCAUAAAGCACAAAUUCUACGCGAUACUCUAGAUCACCCCACAAAAGAAGAAGCAACAAAUAAAGUAGAAGUCAAAGGUCGUCAAAGCCGGUAGUGGUGUAGAUCCAAUGUGGAAAGAAAAGUUCAUCUUCCAUGUGGAUGACAACUUCCUCUUCA